UUUUGAUCUGAAAUGUUUCAGAAAAGAGCAUCAGAAGUUGUUUUUUUCCUUCUAUCUUCUCCCUCUUUCUGUAGACAGAUGGAUGACGCUGAUCCAUCACUCCGGAGGUGUGGAGUGACAGAUGACAGAGGCAUUGACACGGCGGGAGAGAGAGAAAAAGAGAGAGGUAACAUCGGAAAGGGUUACUGCCGCCCGUAAUGGAAAACAACUGCAAAGGUCAGACGUAUCGAUCGGGAGGCGAGAAGAAAUCAACCUGAUCAUCAACUCUGACCUGAAAGACGAAACUUGCAACACCUUGGGUACCACAGACCACAGCAGCAAGAUUUACAUCUGAAUGCAGAUGAUAAAACUGAAAACUCAUCCACAAACUAACUAGCAAAGAUCUGGCAGACAGCAGACAGCAGCCAUGGAUAUUAGUAAACCAAUCUUCAGCUCUAAAUUAGAAACUCUUAGACUCUCAUUUACAUCAAGAGCUGGUGGAUGUGACUGAUCCACCACAAAGCAACACGGGACAUUUUGGCUCAGCAUACACCUUGAGAACUUGUCACCAAUGAUGAAUUGGCAGGAAAUGGGAGACUCAAAGCUCAGGGAACAAUCUGAGGCUGUUUGCAGCUAGCAAGACUAUUGGAAUACAAUAUAAAAUCAAAAACACUUUUAGCCAGGUCCUCCCAAUCCCCUCUUCCCUGUCACUCCCCAUCCCUAAAGUUUCUUCCUUACAAUUUUUCCCCUUCCCCUAGAUCCUUAUUAAUGGUGUUCUGUUGGUAUUAACAAUUCAUUUACACACUUCAAAACUCUUUAAAUAAGUCUUGAUUAUGCUGAGCACAUCUCUCUCUUCACCUUCUUCUUCCUGCUGGUGAAGGUGAAUUAAAAUCAGGGGAGGCCUCUUUCAACCACCGUUAGGGUAAGGGUCUCUCUUUGGGAUGGGCGGCCCAGCAAGGGCUCUUCUUGGCGGGUUCAGCACUACCACUUCUUCCCUGGAGGUUGGAGGUCGGAUGGCUUGGCCAAGCAGCAACCCCCUGGACCUCAACCAAACCCUGUCAUGGGGGAUCGGGCUUGGAGGCAGCGGUGGAGGUGCGGCAGCCAUGAGUGCAGGUCUGGACAAUUUCACCCAGGAGUCUGUCACCAGGACGGUGAUGAAAGAGAAGAACUGGCCGGCGCUGCUCAUACUUGUCAUCAUCGCACUGACAAUCGGUGGCAACAUCCUUGUGAUCCUGGCAGUGUCGCUGGAGAAGAAGCUCCAAAACGCCACCAACUUCUUCCUGAGGUCGCUGGCCGUGGCGGACAUGCUCGUAGGCAUCCUGGUCAUGCCGGUCUCCCUCAUCAACAUCCUCUAUGACUACGCCUGGCCUCUCCCCAGCGCCCUGUGUCCCAUCUGGAUCUACCUGGACGUGCUGUUCUCCACCGCCUCCAUCAUGCACCUGUGUGCUAUCUCCCUGGACCGAUACGUCGCCAUCCGCAACCCCAUCGAGCACAGCCGCUUCAACUCCAGAACCAAAGCUAUGAUGAAGAUCGCCGCCGUCUGGACCAUAUCUAUAGGUGUGUCGAUGCCUAUCCCAGUGAUCGGCCUCCACAACGAGGACAAGGUGUUCGUCAACGGCAGCUGUGUCCUCAACGAGGAGCGCUUCAUGCUGAUUGGCUCCUUCGUGGCCUUCUUCAUCCCACUGGUCAUCAUGGUGGUGACGUACUGCCUCACCAUACAGGUGCUCCAGAGGCAGGCCACUGUCUUCCUGUGCGAGGCAAAGACUUCCUCCCAGCAGCCAUUGCACACACCAGCAAUGACAAAUACAUUGCAGCCUCCACCCAGCACCUUCAACGUUCCCCAGAUCAACACACUUGCUGCUUCAGACUCACAAGAGUUAAAGGCCCCGCUCCCUCAGAGCAGACGAAACACCUUGAGCUGUCUGAAAGGAGCCGAGCCCAGCAUGCUGCUCAGCACCUCCAAGUCAGAUAGCAUAAGCAUCAUUCCCAGCUCGGAGGUGGCGUCUCAGCUCAGCUCGCCAGCAGCGGGACCGGGGCGGAGCGACACGCCGGGUUGUCGCGGGCGACGGGGGAUGAUGCAGGCCAUAAAGAACGAGAGGCGGGCCUCCAAGGUCCUGGGAAUCGUCUUCUUCCUCUUCCUCAUCAUGUGGUGUCCCUUCUUCAUCACCAAUGUCACCUUCGUCCUGUGCCGGGGCUCCUGCAACGAGUCACUGCUCAACGACCUCCUCAACGUCUUCGUCUGGGUGGGCUACAUCUCCUCCGGAGUCAACCCUCUGGUCUACACGCUCUUCAAUAAGACCUACAGGAGAGCGUUCUCCAGCUACAUCAGGUGCCAGUACAAAGUGGGAGCCAACGCAGCCGGACAGAGUUGCAAAACCCUCCUGGUUCCCCCGCCGUGCUCGUCGCACGCUGUGACCCCUCUGCUGAUGGGCAGUCAUGGGAAAGCGGGCAUGGACCGCAAUAGUAACUGUCGCAACGGCGGUAGGGGGAACAACGGGAGGCUGACGGUGGACCCGGAUGACAUGACAGAUGACGAAACACAAAUCGGAAUAGUGUCGCACAGUCUCUCCGAAUGCCACAACAUCGACAUGCUUUCGGAAACCGAGCCGGAAACGGAGGUGAAGCAGGAGCUGUCACUCAUCAGCUACAGCCCCACCUCCAGAGAACACACCAGCAGUGUGUGAUUGCGUGUUUUUUUGUUGUUUAAUGUCUUCUUUUUUUUAACCUGCAGACGCUGGGCCGAGCAACGUUUCGACGAGCUGGUGCUGGAAGCCUACAGCGUUUUUAUUGGCUGUAAACCUGCAGUGGGUCCUUUUAUUGUGAAAGGACUAAUCUCGGUUGAGGAGCCUUAUCCCCAGCCUGGAGUGCACUACUUAGCAAUGUAUGAGCUAAAUCAGAUUACGAGAGAGCCUCUGAGAUGAAAAGGUUUUGGAAUGAAAGACAAUAUUUAAUGUUUGUUUUCUAUUUGGUGUCCAAAUGUUGGUUUUUCAUUACAUAAAUGGAGGAUAAUGCUGUGCUCUGCAGUCAGUGUGUUGUACUUCAUGGGGACUAAGGUACCAGCUGAGAUCCAGACAGGGUCGGAGUGCAUGUGAUAAGAAGCAGUCACUGAAGAGCUUGUUGUCAUUGUUGACCUGUUAUGAAGUCCUACUGAUGCAGGUUACAGAGUCAAGCGCCGACCGCGGACGUCGACGGGGUCAAACUACGACUUCACGCCUUCACACGAGCCCAAAUGCAGUCCGAGCUCUGGUUUAUGUGGAUUCUCUUCACACAAAGCAAGCUAAACCAAAUCUAUUUUUGUGCCGGUCAAGCUUAACAGCAACAAAUACAGAUAUACCUGAAUGAACCUUUCCAGCACGCAUAAUCAAACUAUUCAGCCGACAGAAAAGGGAUUUCUCUCGAAAAGGGAACUCACUCGAGGCUGCAGUCAAAGUUUGUCUGAGAGGACCAAGAUGAAGGAAUGUACCACAACCGCUGGUGGACUCACAGUGCCAUCUGGUGGUCGCUCCACACAGAGAGGUCACUUCCCUUGGAUUGAACAAGGGGCUAAAAGAGCUAAAAACAUGGCGCAGGCCUUUGGUCUAACACAGCUGUCAGGCUCUUGCUUCUGAUGACCAAUACAACCACUUAGGAAAGAGUUAAAGUCCCAACUUCUAAAUGUUUUUACUAACAACAAUCAAUAAAGUUUCAAAUAAAAGGGAGCAAUCUAAAAGUAAAAAUGUGAAAGUUUUAAUAUAAGCGUGCACACAAAGGUUUCUCAGAUGUCAUUCUUAAAAGGAACAAAAUAUAUAGAUUUUAUGACCACAUCAUUACUAUCAUUUCUAUUAUCAAUUAGCCAUCAUUAUCACUGAUUCACCAUCAUAAAAUAAUAUAAAACCUCCCCAGCCGUUAUCAAUUCACACUUACCUUUAUUUUCCCAAACCCAUGGAAUUUUGGAUGGAUCAGCAAUCUAAUUAAUCCAGGAAAUCUCUAUGUAUAUAUUUCCCUCACAUCUAAUGAUGCAAAUUCAGCAUAUGCAUAUUUGAGUUUGGUGUCCUACAAGUCAACAGCCACCUGCUUAAUAUACAUAUCAUAUAUUAUCGGAUUACAUAUCAGAGUGUUCAAAUCAGCUGCGGGCAGAAAUCUGGGCUUUGAGAUUCACAACGUCACAAUCUCUGAGGGACAUAAAAUGAAUGAUUUUUAUUCAACCAUUAGAUCAGUCAUUUUCUCUCCAAAGACCCCUCAGACAAAAUUUGCUAAGACGGGACAGUGAAAGCCAAAGAGAACAUAACAUCUAAGCAAUAAGCUUUGGAUUCAAAUAAGCUCCAUCAGAGCCCUAUGUGACAUAUAUGCUCUGAUGAUGGGUUUUAGGAUGAAAAGCUUGCCAACAUCUCCAAGAAUUGCAGAAUUGACCACUAACUUGAUGAUGGUUACGAACUUUCUGAUCUCUGACUGCUUUACAAUACGUUGGGCCUGAGUCACCAGUGUGACUCCAAGACCAAAUAGCUUUAGAUUUCAUCCGUCGCAUAAAACGGACAGAAAGUCAAUACACUAAGAGACAGGCCCCCUGAGUUUAUCAAGACAGGUCACUAACCCUCACAGCUCUGUCACGCUGAUUUUCUCGCCCUCCCUCCCUCCCUAAAUAUUUUAUCGACAUCUGACAAGCGCCGGGAUUCCCUCCACACUGCAUCUCCAUUAACUGAAAUAUCUACAAUGUACUGCCUUAAAAAAAAAGAAUUCAAUAUUGUGUGAAUUUUAAAGGUGGCAAAUUUAGAUUUCUUAGCAACAAGAGAAAAUAUAGGAGAUAUAACCUGAAACUCAUAUGCAUAUAGAUUGGCUUUGUAGGUUUAGUUCAAUAGAGCUAAAUGGUUUGUGUUGUAAAGGAAAUGCAGUGAGAAAAGUAACGUUUUAAGCGAUCACUUAAAGGGGCCCUCCAACAGUAUUACACGUCAAGUUCAUUUUACUUGUCUAACGUCUAAAGUUUGUAAAAAAAAAUAACCCUGAUGAUGUCUUAGUGACCUCGGUAUUUCAGGCUGGCGCUUGAGACUAAAAUAUUUUAACAGAAAGUCUUUAAAACUGGAGGAUGUGGAAGAUGUGGGCAAUUAGGGGAUCCAAUGAAAGAUGCUAUUGAGUUGCAUUUUGGGAAUUGUUGUGUUUUUGGAGAUUGAGACUAAAAGUCAAGAUAUCUCAGUCUUAGCUGCUUCGAUUUUGACCAAUCUUUGUUUAAUUUGUCUCUUUUAAUUCUCUUAACUUUAUGGAAGUGCAAUACUAAAUGGCUGGGAUACCCCUUUAAAUGCAAAAAAUACUGAUUGACACACAUUACUAAGUUUUCCUUCCAGCUUUUAUCUUAUCAAAGUAGAUGUCACUUUCCCCAGUGAUCAAUAAUUCAUUUUGGUAAUACUCCCUACAGCCAUAGAACAGUUAAAAUUACAAAGG